UUUUUUCUUGGACAAUGUAUAAUUUUAUACCUAAUAGAGGGUGUUAUAAUUUUAUACCACUUUUUUCUAAAAAAAAUUAUACCACCUUAUAUAACGAAUGGAUAAAUAUAUUAUCAUUCAAAAUAAACAACAUAUAAAAAAGUGAUCUCCGCUUUAAGUGAUAAAUUUAUAUCUCAUUAAUAUAAAAUCCCUUUAUUUUGAGAAGUAAAACAAAAAACAAAAAC
rnacentral:lncRNA from 1 species